AACAGGAAAUGGGACUUGAAAACUGUUUGACUUUGGGUCAAGUUAAGAAGCUUGAGAUGAGUGGGACAUUCUUCCAGAUUAAGGCUGGAUCCCUGGAGCACCAUUAUCCAAGCCUCUGAUUUUGGGAAUAUGGAACCCUGGGUGCAGCAGCAGCAGUUUAUUCAGUGAGUGUGUCUAUAGGCCUCACAAAUUGCUCAGCCCACUGCUCCUUUUGCCUUGAGAGUCGGGGUCAUCCGUGAACUCAGGGCACAGACCACAGGUGAAGUGGCGCAAACAGAUCUCCUGCCCAUGUGAAAGGCCUCAGAGAGAUCCCCAUGAAUUCACAAUGGAAUUGACAUUCAAAAUAGCCAGAGUAAACACAGACAUAUGAAGAAACUGGAAAUAAAAUAUUACUUCCUGGUGUAAACUGAGAC